rnacentral:rRNA from 1 species
ACUCCUACGGGAGGCAGCAGUGGGGAAUAUUGCACAAUGGGCGCAAGCCUGAUGCAGCCAUGCCGCGUGUGUGAAGAAGGCCUUCGGGUUGUAAAGCACUUUCAGUUGUGAGGAAGGUGGUGUCGUUAAUAGCGGCAUCAUUUGACGUUAGCAACAGAAGAAGCACCGGCUAACUCCGUGCCAGCAGCCGCGGUAAUACGGAGGGUGCGAGCGUUAAUCGGAAUUACUGGGCGUAAAGCGCAUGCAGGUGGUUUGUUAAGUCAGAUGUGAAAGCCCGGGGCUCAACCUCGGAACUGCAUUUGAAACUGGCAGACUAGAGUACUGUAGAGGGGGGUAGAAUUUCAGGUGUAGCGGUGAAAUGCGUAGAGAUCUGAAGGAAUACCAGUGGCGAAGGCGGCCCCCUGGACAAAGACUGACGCUCAGAUGCGAAAGCGUGGGGAGCAAACAGGAUUAGAUACCCUGGUAGC